rnacentral:rRNA from 1 species
GAUGAACGCUAGCUACAGGCUUAACACAUGCAAGUCGCAGGACUGGCGCACGGGUGAGUAACGCGUAUCCAAUCUUCCUAUAACUACGGGAUAACCCGUUGAAAGAAGGCCUAAUACCGUACGGUCAUGGAUGGGGAUGCGUCUGAUUAGCUUGUUGGCGGGGUAACGGCCCCGCAAGGCGACGAUCAGUAGGGGGUCUGAGAGGAAGGUCCCCCACAUUGGAGCUGAGUCACGGUCCAAACUCCGACGGGAGGCAGGAGUGAGGGUUAUUGGGGAAUGGGAGAGAGCCUGACCCAGCCAAGUAGCGUGCAGGGUGACGGCCUAUGGGUUGUAAACUGCUUUUAUGUGGGGAUAGGUACCACAUGAAUAAGCACCGGCUAAUUCCGUGCCAGCAGCCGCGGUAAUUC